rnacentral:rRNA from 1 species
GACGAACGCUGGCGGCGUGCUUAACACAUGCCAGUCGAACGGAAAGGCCCUUCGGGGUACUCGAGUGGCGAACGGGUGAGUAACACGUGGGUGAUCUGCCCUGCACUUUGGGAUAAGCCUGGGAAACUGGGUCUAAUACCGAAUAGGACCACGCGCUUCAUGGUGUGUGGUGGAAAGCUUUUGCGGUGUGGGAUGGGCCCGCGGCCUAUCAGCUUGUUGGUGGGGUAAUGGCCUACCAAGGCGACGACGGGUAGCCGGCCUGAGAGGGUGACCGGCCACACUGGGACUGAGAUACGGCCCAGACUCCUACGGGAGGCAGCAGUGGGGAAUAUUGCACAAUGGGCGCAAGCCCGAUGCAGCGACGCCGCGUGAGGGAUGACGGCCUUCGGGUGGUAAACCUCUUUAAUAGGGACGAAGCGCAAGUGACGGUACCUAUAGAAGAAGCACCGGCCAACUACGUG